AGACUGCUGCCACACUGGCUGGCUAGGUCGCUCUAGCACGCAAGUCUUGAAAUUGUUCAUUGUUCCUCUCACUGCCAGAAGCAGGAGGGUUGUUCUCUUGUCUUCACUGUGAGGGACCUACUAGAGGUCAGGAAGCAAAUGCACAGAAACUCCUUGGUUCUCCUUAGAAUUAGGUCUCCGGGAGCACUCUCAAGCUGGUGCAGGGCAGUGCAGCAUCGCCUGCUGUGACACUGGCUUUCAGGAAGAUGUCCACACUGGAAGGCAAGAUGGCAGGAGGCCCCUUGGUGAUGGGAACAUGUGGCUGGGACUCUUCACCUCUAAACAUUAUAGUGAAACAGAAAGAAGAGAAAGGGCUCAUACUUCUCGAUUAAGAUUUCCUGAAAUGUUUGCUUUGGGCUGCAGGAGCCAGAGCAGGAGGAAGAAAAGAAAGAGGAAAAG
rnacentral:lncRNA from 1 species